GUGAACAACUUCGUCAUCUUCGAGGGUUUCUUCUCCAACCGCCCCGGUGAGUUUUUGGGGGGGCAGGGGGGAGCCCAGAGGGGCCUGGGGGGGCACGAAGGGGUAGGGGGUGACCCCCCCAGACCCUAAUAAAGCUUCCCCCCAUAGCGCCCCCCCGCCGGCCGCCCCCCAAGCGCCCCGAGGAGGAGAUCAAGCCCUACUCGCUCUCGGAGCGCGACUGUGAGUUUGGGGCAAAAAAAGGGAGAAACUGAGGCACAGGGUGUGUGUAGGGGGGGGUCUUCCCCCCAAAAAAAGGGGCGGGGCUUCUCUAACUUUCAACCAAUCCCCUUCCAGUUCUCCGAGAAGAGGCGGAGCCUCCUUGGCCCUUCAAUUUGACCCCCCCGGGACGAGCCGGGGGGUCCCCGGUUCGGGGCAGCCUCCGGCCUUUCUUGCUGCGGAGGGAGACGCCGGAGGGACAGACGGAGCCCCCCCCGCCGGACAGACGGACGGACGCCCCCCAGCAGCGCCGCGCCAGGUGGGGGUCCCCUUUUUUUUUGCCCCAGUUUUGCCAUUUUUGGCCUUAAUUUUUCACUCCAGUCUCCCCACGACUCUCUUUUCUCGCCCCCCUCUCCCCACAGCUCUCUAGGGAGAACCGGUCGCUGAGCCCCACGGCAGCUUCUCCCCACGGCGGGGCCGUGGGGGGGGAGCCCUCGGCGCCUGCUGGAUGUGGGGUCUGCCCCCUUUUCCUGCCCCAUAGCUCCCAAAGAGUGCCAGUUCUUGCCCCAUAGCCCCUAUGGGUGCCUGUGUCCCCCACCCCAUAGUCCCUGUGGGUGCCUCCCCCUGCCCCACAGCUCAUGUGGGUGCCCAUCCCUGCCCCACAGCCCCCCCCAUGGUGCCCAUCCUCACCCCAUAGAUCCCAUGGAGGGACCUUCCUGCCCCAUAGCCCCUGUGGGUGCCUGUCCCUGCCCCACAACCUCCCUGGGGGAUUCCAAUUCCUGCCCCAUAACGCCCAUGGGUGCCUCCUCCUGCCCCACAGGUGCCUCCCCCUGCCCCACAGCCCCACUGGGUGCCUGUCCUGCCCCAUGGGAGCUCUUCCUGCCCCACAGCCCCCAUGGGUGCCCGUCCUGCCCCACAGGGGGAGUCCCAUUCCCUGCCCCACACCCCCCAUGGGUGCCCCCACCCCCUCCCCGCCCCACAGCACAUGAGGGGGGGAUGGUGGGGGUGGCCCUUUCCCUUCCCCCCCCCCCCUUUUUUUGGUGACGUUUCAAUAAAAACGGUGACUGAGCGCCGGGUCCCGCCUGC
ensembl:lncRNA